rnacentral:misc_RNA from 1 species
CAGAGAAUGUGCCCUUUGGGGUAUAUCUCCCACCCUUUGUCUACAAUACCUUUGUUGCUUUGGUGGGCCUGUCUAAUGACUACUGGCUUUUGCUGGUCAGUGCCUGCCAGAGGACCCCAACGCUCAUAAUUUUGUCGUCUGAGUACUACAUAAUAGUUA